GCGGAGGUAGCCAAGUGGUCAACGGCGGUGGGCUCAAGAUCCACUCUCACAGGAGUUCGCGGGUUCGAAUCCCUCCCUCCGCA
rnacentral:tRNA from 1 species